rnacentral:misc_RNA from 1 species
UGGGAAUUGAAGCCCAUAAAGUUGCUUCUAUAAUUGUUUUGCGUUGCAAUAUUUGCGCUGUAGGUUGUCCUCUGCUGGGGCCUGUAUGUUGGUGCCGGUUUACUUACGGAAGCUUUUCGUUUAAUGUCAUACAAGGACCUUUUUCCUUUGUCUAAAAGCACCCUUUGGGCUUCACCAAUCAACUUGAAAGCAGCCUCUGCACCAGGGCACUUAUUUUUGUCGGGAUGAAGUAAGAGAGCAAACUUCUUGUACUGCUUCUUGAUUGUAACCUCAUCAGCUGUCUGCUCAAUCUGAAGGAUGCCAUACCAGUCCAUCUCAUUCCCAUGCAGUUUCUUAUCAGCAGCACAAUGCACAUCACAAACCAUCAGCAUAUGGGAAAUAUUAUCCAAAUCUUUGUAAAGCUGUUGGGCUUUGAGUGCAAUUUUACGAGCAGUACCAAAAUCCUUGUUUUGCAUCUUACUCUCAGCCAUUCCCUUGGCCCUGAU